rnacentral:rRNA from 1 species
GACGAACGCUGGCGGCAUGCCUAAUACAUGCAAGUCGAACGGCACAGCAAUGUGCAGUGGCGGACGGGUGAGUAACGCGUGGGCAACCUGCCCUAAAGUUCGGGAUAACACUCCGAAAGGAGUGCUAAUACCGGGUGUAGUCGUUUAUCCGCAUGGAUAGACGAAAAAAGGGUAAUCCGCUUUAGGAUGGGCCCGCGUCUGAUUAGCUAGUUGGUGGGGUAAAGGCCUACCAAGGCGACGAUCAGUAGCCGACCUGAGAGGGUGAACGGCCACACUGGGACUGAGACACGGCCCAGACUCCUACGGGAGGCAGCAGUCGGGAAUAUUGGGCAAUGGGCGAAAGCCUGACCCAGCAAUGCCGCGUGAGUGAUGAAGGUCUUCGGAUCGUAAAGCUCUGUCCUAUGGGAAGAUAAUGACGGUACCAUAGGAGG